rnacentral:misc_RNA from 1 species
GAUGUUCUUGUACUCCACGGUUUCAACAUUGAAUCCGAUGGUGGGGAUGGUGGUGACGAUCUCGCCGAGCUUGAGCUUGUAGAGGAUUGUGGUCUUUCCGGCCGCGUCAAGACCCACCAUCAGGAUCCGCAUCUCCUUCUUGGCGAAGAGCCGGCUGAAGAGCCUCGAGAACGACAGACCCAUCUCUCUCCCUCUGGAUCAGAAAUCCCGC